rnacentral:misc_RNA from 1 species
UCUCCGUAGGUGAACCUGCGGAGGGAUCAUUACAGAGUUCAUGCCCUACCGGGUAGAUCUCCCACCCUAUGUUAUUAUUACUUUGUUGCUUUGGCGGGCCGUUAGGCUCCGGCCCGACUACCGGCCCCGGCUGGUAAGCGCCCGCCAGAGGACCCAAAACCCUGAACAUUAGUGUCGUCUGAGUACUAUAUAAUAGUCAAAACUUUCAACAACGGAUCUCUUGGUUCUG